rnacentral:snRNA from 1 species
GUGCUCACUUCGGCAGCACAUAUACUAAAAUUGGAACGAUACGGAGAUUAGCAUGUCCUCGCGCAAGGAUGACACACAAAUUCGUGAAGCGUUCCACUUUUUG